rnacentral:rRNA from 1 species
UACGAAGGGGGCUAGCGUUGCUCGGAAUCACUGGGCGUAAAGCGCACGUAGGCGGAUCUUUAAGUCAGGGGUGAAAUCCUGGAGCUCAACUCCAGAACUGCCUUUGAUACUGGAGAGCUUGAGUCCGGGAGAGGUGAGUGGAACUCCGAGUGUAGAGGUGAAAUGCGCAGAUAUCGGGAAGAACACCCGUGGCUAAGGCGGCUCUCUAGUACGGUACUGACGCUGAGACGCGAAAGCGUGGGGAGCGAACAGG